AUUGAACGCUGGCGGCAGGCUUAACACAUGCAAGUCGAGCGGGGUGAUGGUGCUUGCACUAUCACUUAGCGGCGGACGGGUGAGUAAUGCUUAGGAAUCUGCCUAUUAGUGGGGGACAACAUCUCGAAAGGGAUGCUAAUACCGCAUACGUCCUACGGGAGAAAGCAGGGGAUCACUUGUGACCUUGCGCUAAUAGAUGAGCCUAAGUCGGAUUAGCUAGUUGGUGGGGUAAAGGCCUACCAAGGCGACGAUCUGUAGCGGGUCUGAGAGGAUGAUCCGCCACACUGGGACUGAGACACGGCCCAGACUCGUACGGGAGGCAGCAGUGGGGAAUAUUGGCCAAUGGGGGGAACCCUGAUCCGGCCAUGCCGCGUGUGUGAAGAAGGCCUUAUGGUUGUAAAGCACUUUAAGCGAGGAGGGGGCUCUUUUGGUUAAUACCCAAGAUGAGUGGACGUUACUCGCAGAAUAAGCACCGGCUAACUCUGUGCCAGCCGCCGCAGUAA
rnacentral:rRNA from 1 species